CUCUAUCUCGUAACACUCCCACGGGCUGUUUGUACCUGCAAUGUUCUCAAUGUUGAGAUCCGGUCUGAUGAGGUUGGCAUAUGGACUUUUGUUACCUAGUUCAACCCAGUUACUGUGGCUGUAAAAAUCCUGCAAAAAAAAAAAAAAAAGGUAAGACCAUAAAACAAAUUAAUAAAUAAAAUAAAAUUAUUCUUAAUGAAUGCUUAGAUUUAGGUUUUGUUACAUAUUAAGCACUAAUUUUAUCAAACUAUUUUACUGCUACCUUGCUUCACCUACUUCCAUGGAACCAUUUUUAAAGGUAAAACCAUUUUUUCCCAAAAAUGCAGAAAUCUAUCAUUAUUUACUUAUUAUGCUGUUAUGUAAUGUUAUGCUGUUAACACAAAACAGAAAAUUUCAAUUUUCCACACAACAAUUCAUCAUGACCAUGUCUAAGGUCAAUAGAGGACAAAAAGCACAGUAGUCCAUGUGACUCCAGCACUAAUUUCAAGGGAGGAUUAUCAUUUAAAAAUAUAAUACAUUUUGGUCAAUUAUUCACAUAAAGCAAUCAUAUGCCUUCAGAAGGCUUGGAAUAUAGCGCAUAAGUCAUAUCGACUACUUUUAUGGUGCUUUUGGAGCUUAACAGUCUUGGUCACUACAAACCAUUGUUGUAAUUAUGAAAAUAAUGGACCCACUUUAUAUUAAGUGGCCUUAACUGCUAUGUACUUAACCAUUUGAUACAAUUAACGUAUUAUGUACAUACAUGUUGUUGCAUUGUUAUUACAUUUAAAGUACUUGAAUUUCAUUUCAUUUGUCCUGCAACUAAUUAAACUAGUUAAUCACAAGAUUUUAUCUUAUCAUUUGUGGGUGAGGAACAUUUACCACUCAAUGCUUUCUGUAAAGUGUUAUAUCUAUUAGCCAAUCAAUUGAUAGCAGCAGUCUGUCAAAAAGAUAAUGUAAAUAUAAUGUACAGUUUCAUUGUACACUGGUAACUUUACCCCUAACUCAACCCUUACCCCAAAACCUAACUCCAACUCCUAAGCCUAACCCUACCCUUACUCCUAAAUCUACCCAUACCUCAACCUCAUUAGCAGCAAAUGUGGGCAUUUUGCAGAACAACAUGUAGUUACACAGAAAAUACAGUCUUUUAUGAUUUAAUGUUAGUACAUAGUAGUUAAGGCCACCUUAAAUAUAGUGUGACCCAAAAGACUAAAUAAAGAUUAUUAAAAAAUGUCCUUUUGUAUUCUACAGAAAAAACAACAGCAAAUGGUUUCUCAACAACAUGAGGCGUGUGACACACUCGCCCCAGUGUUUCUCUGGCAGAUUGAAGGUUGUCACUGCGGACAUUAGCUUUAAUGGCAGCUGUCCCCUGACUGAUGAGAUUCAGCCACUGCUUCACACACCUCAUAGAUCUUUGCCAUUACAGCACUACCAGUGAUGCUCACAUGAGUGUUUCCGUUACCCCCAACUGACACAAAUGCCUGAGCCCGGGACACCAGUAAUGCCAUCAGGGCCACGACGGA